GACGAACGCUAGCGGCGUGCCUAAGAAAUGCAAGUCGAGCGAGGCCAAGGCUUCGGCCAAAAGCCUAGCGGCGAACGGUCGCGUAACACGUAAGCAACCUGCCCUGAAGUGUGGGAUAGCCCGCCGAAAGGCGGAUUAAUACCUCAUGUGGAUGCUUUCCUGCAUGGGUUGGCAUCUAAAGCAGCAAUGCGCUUCAGGAUGGGCUUGCGGCCUAUCAGCUAGUUGGUGUGGGUAACGGCCCACCAAGGCGACGACGGGUAGCUGGUCUGAGAGGAUGGUCAGCCGGACUGGGACUGAGACACGGCCCAGACUCCUACGGGUGGCUG
rnacentral:rRNA from 1 species